GGUUAAGCGAAUAAGCGUACACGGUGGAUGCCUAGGCAAUCAGAGGCGAUGAAGGACGUGCUAAUCUGCGAAAAGCGUCGGUAAGGUGAUAUGAACCGUUAUACCCGACGAUAUCCGAAUGGGGAAACCCAGUAUCCAAUGGAUACUAUCAUUAACUGAAUCCAUAGGUUAAUGAGGCGAACCGGGAGAACUGAAACAUCUCAGUACCCCGAGGAAAAGAAAUCAACCGAGAUUCCCCUAGUAGCGGCGAGCGAACGGGGAGCAGCCCAGAGUCUUAAUCAAUAGCAGUGUCAGGAGAACGGUCUGGAAAGUCCGGCAGUAAAGGGUGAUAGCCCCGUAUCUGAAGAUGCUGUUAUUGUGAACUCGACGAGUAGGGCGGGACACGUGUUAUCCUGUCUGAAUAUGGGGGGACCAUCCUCCAAGGCUAAAUACUCCUGAUUGACCGAUAGUGAACCAGUACCGUGAGGGAAAGGCGAAAAGAACCCCGGCGAGGGGAGUGAAAAAGAACCUGAAACCGUGUACGUACAAGCAGUAGGAGCCUCUUUAUGGGGUGACUGCGUACCUUUUGUAUAAUGGGUCAGCGACUUAUAUUCUGUAGCGAGGUUAACCGUAUAGGGGAGCCGUAGGGAAACCGAGUCUUAACUGGGCGAAUGAGUUGCAGGGUAUAGACCCGAAACCCGGUGAUCUAUCCAUGGGCAGGUUGAAGGUUGGGUAACACUAACUGGAGGACCGAACCGACUAAUGUUGAAAAAUUAGCGGAUGACUUGUGGAUGGGGGUGAAAGGCCAAUCAAACCGGGAGAUAGCUGGUUCUCCCCGAAAGCUAUUUAGGUAGCGCCUCGUGAAUUCAUCUUCGGGGGUAGAGCACUGUUUCGACUAGGGGGUCAUCCCGACUUACCAACUCGAUGCAAACUGCGAAUACCGAAGAAUGUUAUCACGGGAGACACACGGCGGGUGCUAACGUCCGUCGUGAAGAGGGAAACAACCCAGACCGCCAGCUAAGGUCCCAAAGUCAUGGUUAAGUGGGAAACGAAGUGGGAAGGCUCAGACAGCCAGGAUGUUGGCUUAGAAGCAGCCAUCAUUUAAAGAAAGCGUAAUAGCUCACUGGUCGAGUCGGCCCGCGCGGAAGAUGUAACGGGGCUAAACCAUGCACCGAAGCUGCGGCAGCGACACAAAGUGUUGUUGGGUAGGGGAGCGUUCUGUAAGCCUGCGAAGGUGUACUGUGAGGUAUGCUGGAGGUAUCAGAAGUGCGAAUGCUGACAUAAGUAACGAUAAUGCGGGUGAAAAACCCGCACGCCGGAAGACCAAGGGUUCCUGUCCAACGUUAAUCGGGGCAGGGUGAGUCGACCCCUAAGGCGAGGCUGAAAAGCGUAGUCGAUGGGAAACGGGUUAAUAUUCCCGUACUGGUGGUAACUGCGAUGGGGGAACGGAGAAGGCUAGGUUGUCCGGGCGACGGUCGUCCCGGUUCAAGCAGGUAGGCAGAGUGAUUAGGCAAAUCCGGUCACUUAAUGCUGAGAUGUGAUGACGAACCACCAAGGUGGUGAAGCAAUUGAUGCCCCGCUUCCAGGAAAAGCCUCUAAGCUUCAGGUUACCAACAAUCGUACCCCAAACCGACACAGGUGGUCAGGUAGAGAAUACUCAGGCGCUUGAGAGAACUCGGGUGAAGGAACUAGGCAAAAUGGUGCCGUAACUUCGGGAGAAGGCACGCUGGCGGUAGGUAAAGUCCCUUGCGGACGGCGCUGAAGCCAGUCGAAGAUACCAGCUGGCUGCAACUGUUUAUUAAAAACACAGCACUGUGCAAACACGAAAGUGGACGUAUACGGUGUGACGCCUGCCCGGUGCUGGAAGGUUAAUUGAUGGGGUCAGCCGCAAGGCGAAGCUCCUGAUCGAAGCCCCAGUAAACGGCGGCCGUAACUAUAACGGUCCUAAGGUAGCGAAAUUCCUUGUCGGGUAAGUUCCGACCUGCACGAAUGGCGUAAUGAUGGCCAGGCUGUCUCCACCCGAGACUCAGUGAAAUUGAACUCGCUGUGAAGAUGCAGUGUACCCGCGGCAAGACGGAAAGACCCCGUGAACCUUUACUAUAGCUUGACACUGAACAUUGAGCCUUGAUGUGUAGGAUAGGUGGGAGGCUUUGAAGUGUGGACGCCAGUCUGCAUGGAGCCAACCUUGAAAUACCACCCUUUAACGUUUGAUGUUCUAACCUAGGCCCAUAAACUGGGUCGGGGACCGUGUCUGGUGGGUAGUUUGACUGGGGCGGUCUCCUCCUAAAGAGUAACGGAGGAGCACGAAGGUUGGCUAAGCAUGGUCGGACAUCAUGCGGUUAGUGCAAAGGCAUAAGCCAGCUUGACUGCGAGAGUGACGGCUCGAGCAGGUACGAAAGUAGGUCUUAGUGAUCCGGUGGUUCUGAAUGGAAGGGCCAUCGCUCAACGGAUAAAAGGUACUCCGGGGAUAACAGGCUGAUACCGCCCAAGAGUUCAUAUCGACGGCGGUGUUUGGCACCUCGAUGUCGGCUCAUCACAUCCUGGGGCUGAAGUAGGUCCCAAGGGUAUGGCUGUUCGCCAUUUAAAGUGGUACGCGAGCUGGGUUUAGAACGUCGUGAGACAGUUCGGUCCCUAUCUGCCGUGGGCGUUGGAAGAUUGAGAGGGGUUGCUCCUAGUACGAGAGGACCGGAGUGAACGCACCACUGGUGUUCGGGUUGUCAUGCCAAUGGCAUUGCCCGGUAGCUAAGUGCGGAAGAGAUAACCGCUGAAAGCAUCUAAGCGGGAAACUUGCCUCGAGAUGAGUCUUCCCUGUCGCUUUAAGCGACCUAAAGGAACGUUUAAGACUAAGACGUUGAUAGGCUGGGUGUGUAAGCGUAGCGAUACGUUGAGCUAACCAGUACUAAUGAACCGUGAGGCUUAACCUG
rnacentral:rRNA from 1 species